ACGCACGCUGGCGGCGUGCUUCACACAUGCAAGUCGUACGGAAAGGCCCUGCUUUUGUGGGGUGCUCGAGUGGCGAACGGGUGAGUAACACGUGAGUAACCUGCCCUUGACUUUGGGAUAACUUCAGGAAACUGGGGCUAAUACCGGAUAGGAGCUCCUGCUGCAUGGUGGGGGUUGGAAAGUUUCGGCGGUUGGGGAUGGACUCGCGGCUUAUCAGCUUGUUGGUGGGGUAGUGGCUUACCAAGGCUUUGACGGGUAGCCGGCCUGAGAGGGUGACCGGCCACAUUGGGACUGAGAUACGGCACAGACUCCUACGGGAGGCAGCAGUGGGAAAUAUUGCACAAUGGGCGGAAGCCUGAUGCAGCAACGCCGCGUGCGGGAUGACGGCCUUCGGGUUGUAAACCGCUUUCGCCUGUGACGAAGCGUGAGUGACGGUAAUGGGUAAAGAAGCACCGGCUAACUACGUG
rnacentral:rRNA from 1 species